rnacentral:tRNA from 1 species
GAAGGUGUAGCUCGGUGGUAGAGCACAGGCUUAGCAUGCAUGAGGCCCUGGAUUCAAUACCCACUACUUCCA